rnacentral:rRNA from 1 species
UACGUAGGGACCAAGCGUUGUCCGGAAUCAUUGGGCGUAAAGGGUGCGUAGGCGGGUCUUUAAGUCAGGGGUGAAAUCCUGGAGCUCAACUCCAGAACUGCCUUUGAUACUGAAGAUCUUGAGUUCGGGAGAGGUGAGUGGAACUGCGAGUGUAGAGGUGAAAUUCGUAGAUAUUCGCAAGAACACCAGUGGCGAAGGCGGCUCACUGGCCCGAUACUGACGCUGGGGCACGAAAGCGUGGGGAGCAAACAGG